CUACUACUCCCUCCGUCCGAAAAUACUUGUCCUAGAAAUGGUUGUAUCUAGACUUAUUUUAGUUAUAGAUACAUCUAUUUUAUCCAUUUUUAAUACAAGUAUUUCCGGACGGAGGGAGUACUAC
rnacentral:pre_miRNA from 1 species